AGUGAACGCUGGCGGUAGGCCUAACACAUGCAAGUCGAACGGCAGCACAGUAAGAGCUUGCUCUUACGGGUGGCGAGUGGCGGACGGGUGAGGAAUACAUCGGAAUCUACUUUUUCGUGGGGGAUAACGUAGGGAAACUUACGCUAAUACCGCAUACGACCUACGGGUGAAAGCAGGGGGUCUUCGGACCUUGCGCGAUUGAAUGAGCCGAUGUCGGAUUAGCUAGUUGGCGGGGUAAAGGCCCACCAAGGCGACGAUCCGCAGCUGGUCUGAGAGGAUGAUCAGCCACACUGGAACUGAGACACGGUCCAGACUCCUACGGGAGGCAGCAGUGGGGAAUAUUGGACAAUGGGCGCAAGCCUGAUCCAGCCAUACCGCGUGGGUGAAGAAGGCCUUCGGGUUGUAAAGCCCUUUUGUUGGGAAAGAAAAGCAGCAGGUUAAUACCCCGCUGUUCUGACGGUACCCAAAGAAUAAGCACCGGCUAACUUCGUG
rnacentral:rRNA from 1 species